UGCUUCAUAUGCGUUCGAGCUCUGGCAAUAUCCCUGAGCAACUUGAAGAUAUUGUCCACUGCAUCUGUGGCUUUCUGGGAUGUUAGGUUCAGUGCCGAGUUACAGCCUGUUAUUUUCUGCAACAAAGGAGACAGCUCUGGUUCAUCACAAAUUGCCUUGACUAGAGCCUUCUUCACUUCUUCCUCAGCUUUGUUCAGCUCUUCUCCAUUUCUGAUUUCUCCAACCACAGAAUACAUGUACACUAACAAGAUAAAGAAGUCCUCACAGGUAUAAUCAUCUUGCAUCCUCU
rnacentral:lncRNA from 1 species